rnacentral:lncRNA from 1 species
AUGUCCAACCCCGAGGAGCGGCUCUCAUCCCGCCCCCCGGCCCCCCUGGCUGCGGCGCCCGGGGAAAAGCCCGGCUCCGGCCGCCGCCCGCCCCACUCUCAUGGCCGGGGCGGCGGAGGUGGAGGCAGCGGCGGGUCUCCUCCCCCCCCCGCGCCCGGAGGCAGCUCGGUCGCCCGUAGCUCCCUCGUUCUGCUCCUGACAGCCGCCGCCGGCAGCGGCAGCGGGAGCCGCGCCGCAGGGACUGCCCCCGCCGCCUCCGCCCGCAUCGGCCCCGCAGCGGCGGCGGCUCCUCUCCGCGCUCCAAUCCCCUCCUUCUCCUCCGCUUCUCCAUCUUCGUUUUACUUCUUGCCGCCGCCUCCUCGUUUCCCCUCCUCGUCUUCCUUUAACCUCACGAGUCUCCAAGGGAGGGAAGGAGGAGGAGGAGGAAGAGAUGCUGGCGGAGCGGCGGCGGCUCACUUGAUCGCCCAUCCAGGCGGCGGCAGCGGCAGGAGGAGACUCUUCUCUUCUCCUUCCAUCCAGGGUUCUCUGUUCCGUUCCGCGGCCGCCGGCCCCCGGCAGCACCAUCCGCGGCUCCUCCUCCCCGCGGCCGCCUCUCGCCCGUGGUCCUGCGCUUUCCUCGGCGCUGCAGCGGCGGCCGCCCGCGGCGACGGGAUCCGAGACGACGGCCCCGGCGGGAGCGGGACUGCGCGGCGGCUGCGAGGCGCCUUCUUCUCCUUCUCGUCUCCCCUGCUCCCGGGGCCAGACAUGGAAGAUGGAUCUAAUUCUACCGGCUGCUUCAGGAGGUUUACGGACUGUUUCCUGAACACAAGUAGGUACUGGGGCGGGGAGGUAGCUGGGAUGGUUGGGGGGGGGCUCGGGGCAGCGCGUUCCUUUGUGAGCGGGGACACAAAGGACCGGGCGCGGGGAGGAUGCGCGGACAAAGGGAUGCGCCGUGCGGCAGCCGCCUGCUGGCGCCGCCUCGGCCUCGGCCGGAGCUCCGCGGGCUCGUGGCAGCCCGGCACCUGGCGCGCCUCUCAUCCGCCGCGGAGCGGGGCGCGGGGACCCGCCCCGACCUCCGGAGGUGGCCGUAGGGAAGCGUUAAGCUAA